UUGGAACGUAGCUCAGUUGGUGGAGCGAUAUGACUAUAAAGGGUCUGAAACGUAGGCAGGUUCGAGUCCUGCCGUUCCAAU
rnacentral:tRNA from 1 species